rnacentral:rRNA from 1 species
GACGAACGCUGGCGGCGUGCUUAACACAUGCAUGUCGAACGGAAAGGCCCUGCUUUUGUGGGGUGCUCGAGUGGCGAACGGGUGAGUAACACGUGAGUAACCUGCCCUUGACUUUGGGAUAACUUCAGGAAACUGGGGCUAAUACCGGAUAGGAGCUCCUGCUGCAUGGUGGGGGUUGGAAAGUUUCGGCGGUUGGGGAUGGACUCGCGGCUUAUCAGCUUGUUGGUGGGGUAGUGGCUUACCAAGGCUUUGACGGGUAGCCGGCCUGAGAGGGUGACCGGCCACAUUGGGACUGCGAUACGGCCCAGACUCCUACGGGAGGCAGCAGUGGGGAAUAUUGCACAAUGGGCGGAAGCCUGAUGCAGCAACGCCGCGUGCGGGAUGACGGCCUUCGGGUUGUAAACCGCUUUCGCCUGUGACGAAGCGUGAGUGACGGUAAUGGGUAAAGAAGCACCGGCUAACUACGUG